rnacentral:rRNA from 1 species
UACGAAGGGAGCUAGCGUUGUUCGGAAUCACUGGGCGUAAAGCGCACGUAGGCGGUUGUGUCAGUCAGGGGUGAAAUCCCGGAGCUCAACUUCGGAACUGCCUUUGAUACAGCACAUCUGGAGUCCGGAAGAGGUGGGUGGAAUUCCUAGUGUAGAGGUGAAAUUCGUAGAUAUUAGGAAGAACACCGGUGGCGAAGGCGGCCCGCUGGUCCGGUACUGACGCUGAGGUGCGAAAGCGUGGGGAGCAAACAGG